rnacentral:rRNA from 1 species
GAUGAACGCUAGCUACAGGCUUAACACAUGCAAGUCGAGGGGCAGCAGGGAUUUAGCUUGCUAAAUCCGCUGGCGACCGGCGCACGGGUGCGUAACGCGUAUCCAACUUUCCCGUUACUCAGGGAUAGCCUUCCGAAAGGGAGAUUAAUACCUGAUGGUGUUUGAAAUUUGCAUGUUCUUCAAACUAAAGAUUUAUCGGUAACGGAAAGGGAUGCGUGACAUUAGAUAGUAGGCGGGGUAACGGCCCACCUAGUCUACGAUGUCUAGGGGUUCUGAGAGGAAGGUCCCCCACACUGGAACUGAGACACGGUCCAGACUCCUACGGGAGGCAGCAGUGAGGAAUAUUGGUCAAUGGUCGGAAGACUGAACCAGCCAAGUAGCGUGAAGGAUGAAGGUUCUAUGGAUUGUAAACUUCUUUUAUACGGGAAUAAAACAUCCCACGUGUGGGAUCUUGUAUGUACCGUAUGAAUAAGCAUCGUCUAACUCCGUGCCAGCCGCCGCCGUAACAC